rnacentral:rRNA from 1 species
AUGCAGUCGAACGAACUUCCGUUAAUUGAUCAUGGACGUGCUUGCACUGAAUGAGAUUUUAACACGAAGUGAGUGGCGGACGGGUGAGUAACACGUGGGUAACCUGCCCAGAAGCAGGGGAUAACACCUGGAAACAGAUGCUAAUACCGUAUAACAGAGAAAACCGCCUGGUUUUCUUUUAAAAGAUGGCUCUGCUAUCACUUCUGGAUGGACCCGCGGCGCAUUAGCUAGUUGGUGAGGUAACGGCUCACCAAGGCGAUGAUGCGUAGCCGACCUGAGAGGGUAAUCGGCCACAUUGGGACUGAGACACGGCCCAGACUCCUACGGGAGGCAGCAGUAGGGAAUCUUCCACAAUGGACGCAAGUCUGAUGGAGCAACGCCGCGUGAGUGAAGAAGGGUUUCGGCUCGUAAAGCUCUGUUGUUAAAGAAGAACGUGGGUGAGAGUAACUGUUCACCCAGUGACGGUAUUUAACCAGAAAGCCACGGCUAACUACGUGCCAGCAGCCGCGGUAAUACGUAGGUGGCAAGCGUUAUCCGGAUUUAUUGGGCGUAAAGCGAGCGCAGGCGGUCUUUUAAGUCUAAUGUGAAAGCCUUCGGCUCAACCGAAGAAGUGCAUUGGAAACUGGGAGACUUGAGUGCAGAAGAGGACAGUGGAACUCCAUGUGUAGCGGUGAAAUGCGUAGAUAUAUGGAAGAACACCAGUGGCGAAGGCGGCUGUCUGGUCUGUAACUGACGCUGAGGCUCGAAAGCAUGGGUAGCGAACAGGAUUAGAUACCCUGGUAGUCCAUGCCGUAAACGAUGAUUACUAAGUGUUGGAGGGUUUCCGCCCUUCAGUGCUGCAGCUAACGCAUUAAGUAAUCCGCCUGGGGAGUACGACCGCAAGGUUGAAACUCAAAAGAAUUUGA